CUAACCUUUAACAUCUGAUAUUUUUAUUAUCUAGAGCUCUGUAAAAAAAUAUAUCAAAAAAAAUUAAAAAAAAAGAAAAUACCAAAAAAUAAUAUAUGAAAACAAAAUCGUUUGUAAACAGAGUUCUAGAUAAUAAACAUUGAGGGUGGUGUAAAAGGUGGGAUUAUUGUAAUAUUUUUUAUGACCCCCACCUUAAAGUCUUCUUAUGUUAUCAUGUUUAAAACGAACAAAAAUUGCAAUGGCAAUUUAAAAAGUAUAGUUCCUAUGUGUAGGGACAGUGCCACUAUGUACGUUAAAGAACCGUUGCCACAAGUCUUUGAGGGGUCAGUAGGUGGCCAGUUGCAAGGCUUAAUUUCUGCCCAACAUAUCCUCCUCUCAGUUGGCAGUCAAAAUUUCUCUACCUUCAUCAUCGGCUCACUUUAUAGAACCUACAAAUUGAUUGGUUAUGAAAUGACGAGAUGUGAGACAACUGUCCUACAGAGACUAAAUGAUGUUGAUGUAAAAUAGGUUACUGUAUGGACUUUAACAAUGAGAAAAUCAACCAACAUUAAAAUUUUGCAAUAUUCUGAAUUAGAAUGACUUUGUUUAUACCUCUAACCUUUAACAUCUGAUAUUUUUAUUAUCUAGAGCUCUGUAAAAAAAAAUAUCAAAAAAAUAUAAAAAAAGAAAAUACCAAAAAAUAAUAUAUGAAAACAAAAUCGUUUGUAAACAGAGUUCUAGAUAAUAAACAUUGAGGGUGGUGUAAAAGGUGGGAUUAUUGUAAUAUUUUUUAUGACCCCCACCUUAAAGUCUUCUAAAGUUAUCAUUUUUAAAACAAACAAAAAUUGGAAUGGCAAUUUAAAAAGUAUAUAGUUCCUAUGUGUAGGGGACAGUGCCACUCUGCACGUUAAAGAACCCUUGCCACAAGUCUUUAAGGGGUCAGUAGGUGGCAUGUUGCAAGGCUUAAUUUCUGUCCAACAUAUGCUCCUCUCAGUUGGCAGUCAAAAUUUCCCUUACCUUCAUCAUCGGCCCACUUUAUAGAACCUACAAAUUGAUUUGUUAUGGAAUGAAGAGAUGAAAGAGAACUAUCCUACAGAGACCAAAUGAAGUUGCAUGUUACUGUAUGGACUUCAACAAUGAGAAAAUCAACUAACAUUAAAAUUUUGCAAUAUUCUGAAUUAGAAUGACUUUGUUAAUACCUCUAACCUUUAACAUCUGAUAUUUUUAUUAUCUAGAGCUCUGUAAAAAAAAUAUCAAAAAAAAUAUCAAAAAAGAAAAUACCAAAAAAUAAUAUAUGAAAACAAAAUUGUUUGUAAACAGAGUUCUAGAUAAUAAACAUUGAGGGUGGUGUAAAAGGUGGGAUUAUUGUAAUAUUUUUUAUGACCCCCACCUUAAAGUCUUCUUAUGUUAUCAUGUUUAAAACAAACAAAAAUUGGAAUGACAAUUUAAAAAGUAUAGUUCCUAUGUGUAGGGACAGUGCCACUAUGUACGUUAAAGAACCCUUGCCACAAGUCUUUGAGGGGUCAGUAGGUGGCCUGUUACAAGGCUUAAUUUCUGCCCAACAUAUCCUCCUCUCAGUUGGCAGUCAAAAUUUCCCUUACCUUCAUCAUCGGCCCACUUUGUAGAACCUACAAAUUGAUUGGUUAUGAAAUGAAGAGAUGUGAGACAACUGUCCUACAGAGACUAAAUGAUGUUGAUGUAAAAUAGGUUACUGUAUGGACUUCAACAAUGAGAAAAUCAACCAACAUUAAAAUUUUGCAAUAUUCUGAUUUAGAAAGACUUUGCCUCUAACCUUUAAAAUCUGAUAUUUUUAUUAUUUAGAGCUCUGUAAAAAAUAUAAAAAAAGAAAAUACCAAAAAAUAAUAUGAAAACAAAAUCGUUUGUAAACAGAGUUCUAGAUAAUAAACAUUCAGGAUGUUGUAAAAAGUAGGCAUAUUUAAAAUUUUGUUUAUUAUUAUGAAUAGUGCACUGUAUAAUUUGUAAAAAUGUAUAUUGUGAAGUCUUGGAAAAUUGUGAAACUUUAGAACUGUGUUUUUUGAGAUGUCUUUAUUCAGUCUUCAAUGAUUGUCAUGGCAAUUGAGGACAAUAGAUAUAGCUCUGUGUAGAAACUGACUUUUUUAUAUCAAGAAAGAUCCAACAAAAGUUUUCAAUGAUAUCUAAAGAGACGAAAGACAGAAAUACUAAAAGGUUUUCUAUGAGAUUGGUGGAUUAUGUACAGUCAGACAACUGGCACACUCAAGAUAAAAGUUAAAUAGCUAUUAAAAUAAAAUUAUGGACUUGUAUAAUAACAUUAAUGAAGACAGAUGUUCUAUAUAUAGUGAAGACAUGUUCCUACAUAAUGUUCUAUAGUGAAGACAUGUUCCUACAUAAUGUUCUAUAGUGAAGACAUGUUCAUACAUAAUGUUCUAUAGUGAAGACAUGUUCAUACAUAAUGUUGUAUAGUGAAGACAUGUUCCUACAUAUUGUUCUAUAGUGAAGACCUGUUCCUACAUAAUGUCUUAUAGUGAAGACGUAUUCCUACAUAUUGUUCUAUAGUGAAGACAUGUUCCUACAUAAUGUUCUAUAGAGAAGACAUGUUCCUACAUAAUGUUCUAUAGUGAAGACAGAUGUUCUAUAGCACAAACAGAUGUUCCUAAGUUGCAAUGAAGUAUUCAGAAGACAGACAGAGUUUCCUUUUGCAAUGAAAUUAUCCAGAACACAUAGUUGAUUAGAUUUCCAGUUCAUUACAUAUUCUGACGUUUUCUCAAGAAAAACACAAGAUUUCAAUUUUCAACCUGAAAGGAGAAAUUCUUAAAAUUUAUGCUGGACAUCUCAUAUCAAGGAUCCAUCACAAUAUUGAUAUUAGACUUAUGAAGAAUAUUCUGAUAAAUUAAUGAUGUACGACAAAUCGUGCUACAAGUAUCAUACCAGCAGAAUUAUUUGAUGGGAGUAAAACAUAGGAGCAGGAUCUCACCUCAUACAAGUGAGGAGGAACAAUUGAACUGAUGAACUUGGAAACAUCUGAAAGGUAUACAUAAGAAAAACAGACCACCUAGAAUAAGGAAAGAGAAAGAUUAACUCGUAGAGUAAAGGGUAGACGAAACUAUCAACACUUUGAAAUUAAUAAGAGCAAUAAUCAACAUAACAGCUGCUUCAUCACCAUCUCAGAGGUUAGGUCUCUAACUGACUCAACUGAUGAACUUAUGACAAGCUUAACAGAUUAUCAGCAUAGUUGAACAAUGAACACUUCAGAGACAAAAUAUUCUUGGCAAUUAAAAUAUAUGACUGAAAUUUCAUAAUUGUAUAUGGUCAGUGGGAGAGAGAGAAAGAUGUAGAAUGGUCAGAGUGGGAGAGGGAGAACACUUAUGAUGAUGAGUGGGGAGAAAUAAAGAACAAUUAUUGCAACUGGUAAAUUUGUCUUCAACCAAACUCAUGGCUUGUGUUGAUGUGUCUACCUUAGACAUCUGAUAUUUUUAUUAUCUAGAGCUCUGUUUAAAAAAAAGAUGUAAAAAAUAAUAUGAAAACUAAACUUAAACAGUUCUAGAUAAUAAAAAUUAAGGGUGGUGUAAAAAGUGGGCAUAUUUUAAAUUUUCUUUUUUUCACCAAUGUAUUUAUGAAAUUUAAAACUUUAAAGUCAGAAUGUUUAAUUGGACGUACAAUUGUUUUGAUUUUAGAUAUUUGGAGACAAAACCUAUUCUUCUCCAUUUGUUACACUCUAAAAGUGUCAUUUAUUUGCAAUAUUCUUAUUUUGAUUGUCUUUGCUUAUACCUCUAACCUUAGACAUCCAAUAUUUUUAUUAUCUAGAGCUCUGUAAAAAAAAUAACAAAAUUGUAAAUAGAGUUCUAGAUAAUAAACAUUAAGGGUGGUGUAAAAAGUGGUUAUAUUUUUUAUAUUUUGAAUUCUCCCCCUCCCCAAUAUAUUUACGAAAUUAAAUACAAGAGAUAUUUAUUGGUAAAUGAUUUGUGUUGGAUAAGUUUUUUCCUUUCAUUAGUGUAUUUUAAAAAAUGUUUUUCUCAAGCUGUAUAUUUUUUUUGGGUAUUGAAAAUGGCUUUGAAGUUAAUAUGUUUAAUUGGAAGCAGAAUUUUUUUAUUAUUAGAUAUUGGAGACAAAACGUAUCUUCUCUGUAUAUUUCACCUUAACAGUGUCUUAGAUUUGCAAUGUCUUUGCUUAUACCUCUAAGUUCUAACCUUAGACAUCCAAUAUUUUUAUUAUCUAGAGCUCUGUAAAAAAAAAAAAAAAAAAAAAUAAUAUGAAAACAAAAUUUCAGAGUUCUAGAUAAUAAACAUUAAGGGUGGUGUAAAAAGUGGGUAUAUUUUGAAUUCUUAAAUGGCCUUAAAGUUUGAAUGUUUAACUGGAAGUAGAAUUCUUUCGAUUUUAGAUGUUUUGAGAUAAAACCUAUCAUCUCGGUAUAUAUUUAUACUGUGUAUAACAAUGUCUUAAAUUCUGCAAUAUUGUGAUUUUGAAUGUCUUUGUUAACUCUAACUUUUAAGGACGUUAAGCAACCAACAAUCAAUCAAUCUAACUUUUAACAUUAGAAUUCCAUUCAGUAUUAAAAUAAUAUGUGAUACAAA